rnacentral:rRNA from 1 species
CCCAGACUCCUACGGGAGGCAGCAGUGAGGAAUAUUGGUCAAUGGCCGGAAGGCUGAACCAGCCAAGUCGCGUGAGGGAAUAAGGCCCUAUGGGUCGUAAACCUCUUUUGUCAGGGAGCAAAGGCGUCCACGAGUGGACGAAAGGAGAGUACCUGAAGAAAAAGCAUCGGCUAACUACGUGCCAGCAGCCGCGGUAAUACGUAGGGAGCGAGCGUUGUCCGGAAUUACUGGGUGUAAAGGGAGCGUAGGCGGGACUGCAAGUUGGGUGUCAAAUCUACCGGCUCAACCGGUAGCCGCACUCAAAACUGCAGUUCUUGAGUGAAGUAGAGGCAGGCGGAAUUCCUAGUGUAGCGGUGAAAUGCGUAGAUAUUAGGAGGAACACCAGUGGCGAAGGCGGCCUGCUGGGCUUUUACUGACGCUGAGGCUCGAAAGUGUGGGGAGCAAACAGGAUUAGAUACCCUAGUA